rnacentral:rRNA from 1 species
GACGAACGCUGGCGGCGUGCUUAACACAUGCAAGUCGAACGGAAAGGCCCUGCUUUUGUGGGGUGCUCGAGUGGCGAACGGGUGAGUAACACGUGAGUAACCUGCCCUUGACUUUGGGAUAACUUCAGGAAACUGGGGCUAAUACCGGAUAGGAGCUCCUGCUGCAUGGUGGGGGUUGGAAAGUUUCGGCGGUUGGGGAUGGACUCGCGGCUUAUCAGCUUGUUGGUGGGGUAGUGGCUUACCAAGGCUUUGACGGGUAGCCGGCCUGAGAGGGUGACCGGCCACAUUGGGACUGAGAUACGGCCCAGACUACUACGGGAGGCAGCAGUGGGGAAUAUUGCACAAUGGGCGGAAGCCUGAUGCAGCAACGCCGCGUGCGGGAUGACGGCCUUCGGGUUGUAAACCGCUUUCGCCUGUAACGAAGCGUGAGUGACGGUAAUGGGUAAAGAAGCACCGGCUAACUACGUG